UCUCCCCUUCCUCCACAAAUUUUUCUUCUCCUCUGGAGCUUCCAAGAGAUCAAAAGAAGAAGAAGUAGAUCAGCCUUCAAAGAUCUUUGUGAGCUAGUACUUCCGAGGAGCCUGAUUAACAUCCGUUCUUCGUGUGGACGAUCUGUAGAGGUCGGACAUCUUUGUGCGGCUAUGAGCAACCUAAAGAAACUUUUUCCCAUGCAAGAUACUUAUAGAGUUCAGUAACCCACACUUUGGUAAUGAGUUUUAAACUCAUUAGAUUAGUUUUGAUAGAUCUAAGGGUUAGAUCUAGUCUACAGUAUCGAU
rnacentral:lncRNA from 1 species